AGUGAACGCUGGCGGUAGGCCUAACACAUGCAGGUCGAACGGCAGCACAGGAGAGCUUGCUCUCUGGGUGGCGAGUGGCGGACGGGUGAGGAAUACAUCGGAAUCUACACUGUCGUGGGGGAUAACGUAGGGAAACUUACGCUAAUACCGCAUACGACCUACGGGUGAAAGCAGGGGACCUUCGGGCCUUGCGCGAUUGAAUGAGCCGAUGUCGGAUUAGCUAGUUGGCGGGGUAAGGGCCCACCAAGGCGACGAUCCGUAGCUGGUCUGAGAGGAUGAUCAGCCACACUGGAACUGAGACACGGUCCAGACUCCUACGGGAGGCAGCAGUGGGGAAUAUUGGACAAUGGGCGCAAGCCUGAUCCAGCCAUACCGCGUGGGUGAAGAAGGCCUUCGGGUUGUAAAGCCCUUUUGUUGGGAAAGAAAUCCAGCUGGCUAAUACCCGGUUGGGAUGACGGUACCCAAAGAAUAAGCACCGGCUAACUUCGUGCCAGCCGCCGCCGUAA
rnacentral:rRNA from 1 species